CCUACGGGUGACAGCAGUGAGGAAUAUUGGUCAAUGGGCGCGAGCCUGAACCAGCCAAGUCGCGUGAGGGAAGAAGGUCCUAUGGAUUGUAAACCUCUUUUGUAGGGGAGCAAAAGACUCCACGCGUGGCGUUCCGAGAGUACCCGAAGAAAAAGCGUCGGCUAAGUCCGUGCCAGCAGCCGCGGUAAUACGGAGGAUGCGAGCGUUAUCCGGAUUUAUUGGGUUUAAAGGGUGCGCAGGCGGAAGAUCAAGUCAGCGGUAAAAUUGAGAGGCUCAACCUCUUCGAGCCGUUGAAACUGGUUGUCUUGAGUGAGUGAGAAGUAUGCAGAAUGCGUGGUGUAGCGGUGAAAUGCAUAGAUAUCACGCAGAACUCCGAUUGCGAAGGCAGCAUACCGGCGCUCAACUGACGCUGAUGCACGAAGGUGUGGGUAUCGAACAGGAUUAGAUACCCUGGUAGUC
rnacentral:rRNA from 1 species